GCCGGGCUCGGGGUGGCUCUGCCAUGGCUUUAAUGUUUGCUGCUGCCUCUCCCAGGGGGAACUGUGGUUCUCCAGCCUGCCCGGGGUGCUCCGGGCCCGCUCACCGAGGCGGCACUGUUGAGUUGGUAGUAGAGAGGUGAGUUGGGGCUGAACUCAGAGUUGAUGGUGGCGUUGGCCUGCAGGACAGCGGCGCUCAUGUACAGGAUGGCCGUGGCACCGUGGUACAAACUGUCCUGCAAAGCAAGGCUCGGGUGAGUGCUCCAGAGGGACACACAGCCGGACAGGGAUGGGAUGAACCCUCCCUGCCGACAGCUGCCGGCGUCCCGGCCCCUCCUUACCAGCACUUUCCAGUUCUCGCUGUUCCUGUGGAAGCCCAGGAGGUAGCUGAGGAGGAGCAGCAGGGAGAUGAGGCAGGAGGUGAGGGACACGUACAUCACCCAUCCCUGCAGCAGCGGGAGGGACACGGAGGUAGCGGCGACGAGGAUCCACACCCAGGUCCCGCAGAGCUGCCGGGGACAAACAGGCGCCUCGGGUGAGCACGGGAUGAGGAAAACUCCUUCCCUCCCAGUCCCUCCUGGGCUGGCCCCAGCAGCCAGCGGAAGCCCUGCAUCCUUCCCGGAGCAUCCCGGCACGACAGCGGCACCAGUUUCCUUGAACACUCAUGGGAAGUGAGUGUUCCUACGAAAGGGAGAGGUUUGCUGCCGCCUUCCACACAAGGAAAUGUCUCACCCUGAGGCGUUUGGUGCAGAAGCAGAAAAUUGGGCUUUUAUCUGGGAAAGGUGAACGGCCACAGCAUCGCCCAGCCCUGCCCUGCUUGUUAAUUCUCAGGGCUUGAAAUCCAGCACGAGGAGGCCUCCUCACAGCUCCCCGCACCAGCCCCGAGCCAGUAGCUCGCUCUGGAUCCACCCAACAGGUUUACUGUGCACAAACAGCACCAGGGCUUUGUCAGGAUGAGCCAGUGCCGCCCUGUGCCACCCCAGCUCCGGUGGGUGAAGCCUGGAAUUGCUGCCCAGGGGAGCUGAGCCCACUGGCACAGCAGGGAUUAUGCCUGUGGAGCAGCGGGGUGUGGGUCUCCAGCCCAGUGUCAAAGUACACCAGCUAUUAUUGCAGCCAGUCGCACUGGGUGCCCUCUGGACCCACGAGCGCUUGAAAGAAUCGUGGAAUGUCACACAUCAGAAGACGCCCAAUUGCCUUCAACCCCUGGGAAGACUCGAUACAGGAUAGACACAGACAGGCUUGAUACAGAGAGCGAAAUUCCCUUGAUUUUCAAACAGUUUCUGGGUGCUAACAAGAGCUGCUUGUGCCCUGAGGAGCCAGCAGCUCUUCUGCCUCUCCCAGCCCUACGGCAGCCAGUGACCCUGGGAUGGAGCUGGAGUGUACCUUGUCCUCAAGCUGUUCCAAAAAACCCCAUCACGAAGACCACCUUUGUGCAUCCAGCCCAGGCUCAAAGCCAAGAUGUUACUUCCCACGACCGCUGUCUCCGGGAUCAUUUGGGGGCUGCUCCCAGGAAUUUAGCCAUGAGCCAGGUGCCGUAACGCAGCGGAGCUCGGGAUACUCACGAUCUCGGGCAGGAUGAAGGCGUAGGGGAUGGUUUUGAAGACGGCGGGUCCGGAGGGCAGGGCGGGCUGUGUGGAGGCCGUGGAGGGACCCACUGAGGCCAUGUCUCCUCAGCUGACACCAGGAUCACUCGGCUCACACUCGCCUGCACCGGGUUUUAAGGGACACACCCGCGGGACGUAAUCACAGGAACCAGCCCAGGCUGGCACCGCGCCGGCCCGGGAGCCCUCGGCACCCGCCCGGCACUGCGGCUCCACACGCCCCUCUGCCAGGGCUGGGAGGGCAGCGGGACCCCGGCCCUGCCACACCGUCAGUUCAAGGUCCUUACCCAGAGGGGAGAGGAGAAAACUUCCUACACACCGGGGCAGAAAUGUUUCCUGCAAAGAGUUGCCGUCCUUGGCACGCUUCCAAGCCUGAAAUAUUUUCCCUUCCAGUGUUGUUGCCUCCUCCCCUUUCUGUUCAGGUUUCUGCUCCGUGUUCUCAUCGGACCCCUCCACGCCCUGCAGGCACAUCCAGCCUUCCAAAACUGGCUGGCAGACGAUUUGGACAGACAGCACUCUGGAACAAGCCGGGAGGGUUUGCCCCUGUGCUCCCAAGUGCCCUGAAAGGUUUGAGAGAGAGUUGCUGGGAUUUCUGCAUCCUGACGGAUGCACUUUGGAUUCGGGAGGCACUCACUGCUUCAUCCAGCAGACUCUGCCUCGCCCCAGAACUCCCCCAUAGCUGAUGGGAUGGAAGGCUGAAGGUGACCCAGAGGGGACAGAAUCACCUCACUAACUGGGGCAAUGUGCUCCAGCAGGAGGACACUGUCCCAGUAAGAUAUCCCGUCUGUGUUAGGAGAGUCAGGUGAUGCCCCAGGAACUGCCAAGCCUUAUGUGACACAGACCAAAGAUCAAAUCCAUGUUUCCUGUCUGAGCCCUUCCUAGGCCGGGGGAAGUGCUCUGUGGCAUUUCUGGAGGCUCCAGGGCACAGGUGCUCCCAUGGGAGCUGUUCUGGGGCUCCAUGCACUGUGCUUGGAAGAUCUUGUUUUAAAUCAUUUCCCACCUGGCAAAACUGCCUGGCCUGGGCUUAAGUCCAUCAGACACAAUGGCAAUGUCCCCAUCACGCUGCGGGAAGCAUCCAGAUGCUCCAGCACUAAAGGGAAACCGGAUUGGUAACUUCCCCCUGGGAAGGGGCAGCACACGGAGCCUGCGGUCACAAGGUGCUCGGGGAAAAGCAGCUGGCACAGGGGUCAGAACGGAGGGAACCAUCCCAGGGGAGCCAGUGCCCUGAAUUCCCACCAGCUGUUAGGUGUGUUAGGUCAGGCACAUUCCUGUGAAUGGCCCAGCCUUCUCCUGAGUGGGGCAGAAAAGCAGGCAAACAGUCUAAAAAUGGAGGAACGUGCUGUCCACGGGUUGGGCAAGAGAGGAUUUUUUUCCCCUCACCUGGCUGCCCUUGCUCAGCAGCAUUCUUAAGGAUCUCUGCUCUUCCCCUUCCCUGCUCCCAGCCUGCUGGGGGACAGGCACAAAGGGCCUUUUGUUCACCCUGAUUAAAACAACACUGGGAAUUAAUUGGAAGAAGCUGCACGAGAGGAGGAAAGUGCUGAGAAGUGGAGCCUCAGCUUCGGCAAAAUACGGCACUCGAAGUGGCUACAACAGGUAGUGACAGACAAGCAGAGCCUUGUCCAACAUUUGUCAAAAACUGAAGUUACACUGAUGAAAUAAUUCCAGUCUCUCCUCUCCCAAAAUGUAAAAGUGUUAAAAUACUCAUUACAAUUCCAUAGUAUGGUCCCUUUGGUAAGAAUUUAUUUGUGUUGUCACCCCGUCCUUAGAGAGCCUGAGUUGUUCUUUAAUCCAUUAAUUCUCCAGGAUUUUUCCUCACUUCCCCUAAGAAAUCAUAAGCCAGCUCUGAGAUGUCAAAGGCUUUGUGGGUGGUUUCUGAGGACAGCAGGUACUGCAGAGCGCCGUCGUUCUCCCGGCUCUUCCUCAAGAAGUCAUGGAUCGCCUUCCAGCGGGACAUUUCUGCCUCCUCCUCAGCCCACUUGUAGCUGGGCAGGAACGUGGACUGGAGGAGAGGGAAGACAGAGUCGUGGUACACCAGGACAAACACAGACUUCAGGAAUUCUUGAUCUCUCUGCAGGGAAGAAAAUACUUCAGUGCAAACUCGUGGUGCUGCCAAGCACUUCUCCAAAGGAUUGUGCACAGGGAGAUGCGACCUUCCUAAACAAAUAUCCAUUAUCUUGGAUAAGCCUAAAGAAUACAAACCAUAGAUCAACAAAUCUGCUCUCCAAAGCCCUGCCAGUGCUCCCACAAACCACGGGCACUGAGAUUUGCUUGUGGGGUAUUUAUAUUCCUUCCUAAAACUAGUGCCACAUCCUCCCUGCCCUGGAAACCCAAACUCUGCUCAUAUUCCCGAGGCGGAGAGAAGGAGAACCAGGAGCUCUGCUCCCGCGCUCCUCGGAGCAGGAGGUGAGUCUGCCCCUGGGUGCUCCGGGGUGAGAAUUAUGUGUUCCCCUGCAGAGGUCAGUCUGGAAAACCCAGAGACUUAAGGAUCAGCCUGGUUGAUUAUCAAACACACGGGAAGGAUCCUGACGGCUGCCAGCGGGAAAACUCCUGGAGCUCGGAGCGUUCCAGAGCCGCGAGGGCCGUGCCCGGCAUCGAGCACUUCAUGGCUCAGCAGGAGAUGUGGCAGCUCAGAGUCACAGAGCCAUGAGGGGUGAGCACCCUGCAGGCAGCAGUCCUGCCCUGGGAGGGGCACACGCCAGUCAGGUAAAACUGGAUGGUUCUGGGAUCCCGGGGAGUCACCGAUUCCGUGAGCAGCUCACCUCUCCUUUUGGAUGAAUGGCCCUGAAAAAGCCAUUCUGACUCAAGGGUUUGUGUAAACAGGGAGCAAUCCUUGUGCACGGGGAAGGAAACAUCCCACUGCUGCUCCCAGGAAGUCCUGGAUGGAGAGCCAGUGGUUUUCCCACUGAGUUCUCUGCAGCUGCUCUUCGGGCAGAGGACAGGAGGUAGGGCAGGGUGAGGGCGAGCCUGGUGACAGCCGGGUCAGUUCUCCAGCUGCCUCCACACCAAAACGUGAUUAAAACUGUCUGGGGUGGGGAGAUGGGAGGAAUCUGGGGGCCUUUUCCCAGGCAGACCUGAGCUCAGAGGUUGGAGGAGGGCAGAUGAUUCUGUGGGCAUGCACAGCCUCUUUUGUAUCCAUGGGAGUAACAGGUUCCCCACCAACAAAGCUGAGACAAAAAGUUACAAGUUAAUUUAAUUAUCCUCCUCCUCCUGGUUUACUGUUAUAAAUCUGAGUAAGAAGUGUUGAGAACUCUAUUUAACGUGUCUCUAUUUUUUAAGUGAGUGAGAGGAAAAGCUGAGCAGCAAUAACACUGACAGGGAGCAGCUAGUUUGGACUCCACUGAAUAUAUGGAAAGAAAACCCCGUAGUUUGUUACCUUCUCAGUUCUCUUCAACGUUCUUUCUCUGUCUGCCCAAGCACUCUAAAAAUGAAAUGUAAAAUCAGACCAAGGCUGUGGAGAACUUUAUCUUUCCACAGGACAAAAACACCCUUAAAUUUUGUCUGGAAAUCCCGACAGGGUGACGUACCCGAAGCGCAUCCAUCAGGUCUGGCUGAUCCACGAGCUGAGGGAAAGUUGCUAAAACAGGAUUACAGAUUAAAUCUGAAACAGAAAACAAACACAUUCCCAAGGCUAAGUACAGAGCACAUCCAGGUACUCUGCACAUCCCCUCCCCUCGGAUUUUUCCAAAGGGAAAAUGAGCUGUAACAGUUCUCCUGAGGGCAGGGAAGGCAGGAGAGCUCCCUAACAACUGACUUCUCUGACUGUAGCCAGCUCUCAGUGGCUGGGAGACACUUACUCCAGGAGAACAGACACACAAAAACCAGCUCCUGGUUUACUGGGAGCACCAGCAAGCAUAUAUUCCUUUUAAAUAUUCCUCAUUUACCUGCCUGAGGGGUUUUCCCUCAUUCCUGCACCUGCCUUUUUUUUUUUACACACAGCUGCAACUGUGCUGCUUGGUUGGGAUGUUAUGGAUAAACACACUUGGGUUCUACCUCGACCUGGCAUGUCUUGUGUGGCAUUUUAAGAGAAGCAGGUACCAAGUGGCACAGAGAAUUUACCAAGUGGGGUAAAUCCCACUGCACAGGGGUCCUGGUGCUUUUUGGGCUGCCUCUCAUAAGAAAGUGCUCUGCUCCUGUCCUUAUUUUCAUUGAUGAGAUUGUGGAUAAGAUUACAAGUGACAGAGGGCAGAAUUUUGGUUGAAGUCUUUCCUUUCUCUUGUGAGUUCAAAUAUUUAAUACACACUGUCAUUUCUUCCUCUUGAAGCUGAUGGAAAGUUUAGUAAACACGAAGCUUUUACUAAACCAAAACAUUUAAAGGCUGCAGGCCAGAACUUGUGGCUCCUGUGAGACAGAGCAGGCAUUUUAAACUGCCUGUUUCUGAAGUGAUGGGUGAUUUUGUAAUAACAGAAAUCUUCCUUAGUGACACACAGCCAGAAGAACUUCUGAAACACCUUUCAGUCGUUUCAAAUGAGGUCUGGAUCCAAAGGGGUGCAAUUUAAUCCCAGGAGAGCCUGAUCUGCUGUGCCAAGUUAUGAAGAUCAAAUCAGGACAUCUCUGGACUGCACACUCGGUGACCUCAGCUUCACCAGCAGCACAGGCUGUUUCCUGAGUGCCAGGAACUGAUGGAAAACCCCACCAGCUGCUGCAGGAACAAAGCCCCGGGAUGGAAUCAGCCAGGUGGAAAGAACGGCCAGAGUUACAUCCCAAAAACCUCAUGGGAACUCUUUGCCACCCAGCACUCCACAGCCAAGGGAAGUGCAGGUCUUGGAAACCAGUCUCCAAAUUUUUACCUGGGGAAGGGAUAAGCAGCAAAGUGCACACACAAAGAAGAGGCAGAAUCCCAGAGGACUGGUCUGGAUGAGCAGUGUGUAAGUAUGGGAGAGUUCCACACCAGGUCUUUGAAAGCCAGCUGGGAUGGAGUCAGCUCAGGCUGCAAGUAGGAACUCGCUCGAAACUUAUCGCCUACAACAAGGGCUGGUGACCAGGGCGAGGAACUCACCACAGACCCCUGAGAAUCCUGCACUGGAACUAUCAGGAGAAAUCCUUACCUUUCUCUAGGAGCUGGAAAAGCGUGGAUGGGCGGAAUCCUGUGGGAACUGCUCCUAUGGUGCAGCAGCUUCCUAACCAUAUCUAACACCUCAGAACUCCCCAACAAACCCACUCAGGAGAAAAAAAAACCCACAUAGCUCUUGUACAGGAAAGAACCAAAGACCCCUGUGAGAUUUUCCUCAGCCCCGGAGGGCUGGGCAGCAACCAGCCUGCAAAGAAGGAGCAGGGAGACAACUGGACAACCGGGAGAAGAAAGGAAAGGCGGAGAGGGAACUCUUUGCUCCUUCUGAUGCAGCGUGAUGGGGACGGAGAGAUCUCUUUCCACACACAGAGCAGAGCCGGGCGGCUCCUGGAUGAAGGUGACAGGGAUCGAGGGUCGGGG